ensembl:lncRNA
UCCGUCCGUCAGCUCGGACCGGAGCUCCGCCCUCCUCUCCGCGUCCCGCCGGGCCGACAGGUAGCUGGGCGAGGAAGACCACGAUGAGGAGGAGGAGGAGGUCGAUGAAGGUCUGGAGGAGGAGAGGCCAGCGGAGAGACCAGUGGAGCGCCGGAGAGCGGCGUCUGUCCGGUCACUAGAAUCUUGGAGAGGGACACGAGACGGGCAGCGUACCAGCUUGUCCUGGCUGAGGAGCGAGGGGCUGGCCCAGGGCCUCUCAUACGACGAGGUGGUGGCGCUCAGGGACGAGGGCACCUUCCAGCUGGGGGCCCGGGUGGAGGCGGUCCCCCCGCCAUACUCUCUGCUGGAGCUCAGCGAGGAAGAGGAGGCUGAGUAGGAGGAAGGGCUGGUGUAGGACGAGCGGGAGCUCGACACGAAGGGGAGUCGGCCGGACUUGGAAUCCAUAGCGACUGCUCAGCUGGAGGAGAAACACAGAGACAACGUGUUAGAGAGUCAGAACUAAAAGAACUUCAUUGAUUUGCGAGAUUGCUACCAUCUAGUGGUUAAACCCUAGUGAUUAUGAAUUGGUGCACUACUUAAGAUGUUCAAUCCGAGAUUACAGAUCCAAGAUAUAUUUUUGGGUUGGUGGUUUUAAAAUGAGUACAUUGAUCACAGAGUUUGGUCUUGUUUUAACUUG